rnacentral:rRNA from 1 species
AUUGAACGCUGGCGGCAGGCCUAACACAUGCAAGUCGAACGGUAACAGGAAUCAGCUUGCUGAUUCGCUGACGAGUGGCGGACGGGUGAGUAAUGUCUGGGAAACUGCCUGAUGGAGGGGGAUAACUACUGGAAACGGUAGCUAAUACCGCAUAACGUCGCAAGACCAAAGAGGGGGACCUUCGGGCCUCUUGCCAUCGGAUGUGCCCAGAUGGGAUUAGCUAGUAGGUGGGGUAAAGGCUCACCUAGGCGACGAUCCCUAGCUGGUCUGAGAGGAUGACCAGCCACACUGGAACUGAGACACGGUCCAGACUCCUACGGGAGGCAGCAGUGGGGAAUAUUGCACAAUGGGCGCAAGCCUGAUGCAGCCAUGCCGCGUGUAUGAAGAAGGCCUUCGGGUUGUAAAGUACUUUCAGCGGGGAGGAAGGGAGUAAAGUUAAUACCUUUGCUCAUUGACGUUACCCGCAGAAGAAGCACCGGCUAACUCCGUGCCAGCAGCCGCGGUAAUACGGAGGGUGCAAGCGUUAAUCGGAAUUACUGGGCGUAAAGCGCACGCAGGCGGUUUGUUAAGUCAGAUGUGAAAUCCCCGGGCUCAACCUGGGAACUGCAUCUGAUACUGGCAAGCUUGAGUCUCGUAGAGGGGGGUAGAAUUCCAGGUGUAGCGGUGAAAUGCGUAGAGAUCUGGAGGAAUACCGGUGGCGAAGGCGGCCCCCUGGACGAAGACUGACGCUCAGGUGCGAAAGCGUGGGGAGCAAACAGGAUUAGAUACCCUGGUAGUCCACGCCGUAAACGAUGUCGACUUGGAGGUUGUGCCCUUGAGGCGUGGCUUCCGGAGCUAACGCGUUAAGUCGACCGCCUGGGGAGUACGGCCGCAAGGUUAAAACUCAAAUGAAUUGACGGGGGCCCGCACAAGCGGUGGGGCAUGUGGUUUAAUUCGAUGCAACGCGAAGAACCUUACCUGGUCUUGACAUCCACGGAAGUUUUCAGAGAUGAGAAUGUGCCUUCGGGAACCGUGAGACAGGUGCUGCAUGGCUGUCGUCAGCUCGUGUUGUGAAAUGUUGGGUUAAGUCCCGCAACGAGCGCAACCCUUAUCCUUUGUUGCCAGCGGUCCGGCCGGGAACUCAAAGGAGACUGCCAGUGAUAAACUGGAGGAAGGUGGGGAUGACGUCAAGUCAUCAUGGCCCUUACGACCAGGGCUACACACGUGCUACAAUGGCGCAUACAAAGAGAAGCGACCUCGCGAGAGCAAGCGGACCUCAUAAAGUGCGUCGUAGUCCGGAUUGGAGUCUGCAACUCGACUCCAUGAAGUCGGAAUCGCUAGUAAUCGUGGAUCAGAAUGCCACGGUGAAUACGUUCCCGGGCCUUGUACACACCGCCCGUCACACCAUGGGAGUGGGUUGCAAAAGAAGUAGGUAGCUUAACCUUCGGGAGGGCGCUUACCAC